AGUGGAAUUUUUUGGCCAUAAAGAAUGUAUAUGCAUAACUUUAAAAGUAACUGACAAAUUGUUUUCCAUAGUGACUUUUCCAUUUGGCACUCCCAUCUACAAAAU
rnacentral:pre_miRNA from 1 species